CAAAAAUAACUGUUCCCCCUCUUUUUUUCCCUCCAGAAGUCCUGUAUUUAUAGGACUCUCACACCCCUGAGAUUCUACGUACAUCAUUCCUACAGAAAACAUAGACUAUCAGAAAUCAGUCAGAAAUCAGACAGAAAUACGUACAUCAUUCCUACAGAAAACAUAGACUAUCAGAAAUCAGACAGAAAAAAAAGCAGAGAGAAAACCAUCAGAUAAACAAAAUAGAGAAAAGUGUGAAGUUGAAGUUGGAAUUUUCGUUUGAGUCUUCCAGUGAAAUAUUUGAGUGUUCUGCUUUAAUCAGGUUCUUAUUCUACAUUAUUUUAUUCAAUAUAUGAUUUUUUUUAAUGAACCAAAUCAUGUUUAAAUUUAUGUUAAUGAUCCCAUAAUCUAAUAUAUGUUGUUAUUUAUUGAUUGUAUUGAAUUAAAAAAAAAUAUGUAGCAACACAUACUAAGAGUUUCACAAUCAUACAUAUGGUCCUCUUCUUCACAUUUUUCUAUGGUUACAGUAGAGUAACACACGCACAUAAUUUCACUGAAAACAAAGAAGGCACAUAGUUACCUUUUGUACAAAAAAUAAAAAGAGAAAAAAUAGUAAUAAAUUGUGUAAAAAAAGUGAAGAAACAGGAAAGAUGAUCGAAAUAGACAAAACACGGAUUUCUCUGAUGAAGUUUUCAUCGGAAAGCAUAGCUUCGCCAUAAAAUUCGGUCACCAUCUCCAAGUAUCCGAUCAAAUACGACCACCAUUAAAAAUGCCAAAACCCGCUGGAAACCGCUACCCCACUGGCGAAACCAGUCUCGCCGCUGCGCCACCCCUUUUUCCUUUUCCCGUCAACCUACGCGACACCAACCAUUACCGUCGCCGCAGUUUUCGUCGCCGAUAGACCAACCACUAAUAUCUCCGGUCGCUGCCACUUCACGAACGAGUCAGAUCUGGCCGGAGUUUCAUUGUCCUCCGAGCACCUUUUUGAAAUCGUUGAGAUUUGUUGUGUGUUGUUUAUUUAGUUUUG
rnacentral:lncRNA from 1 species